rnacentral:rRNA from 1 species
GACGAACGCUGGCGGCGUGCUUAACACAUGCCAGUCGAACGGUGAAGCCCUUCGUGGUGGCUCAGUUGCGAACGGGUGCGUAACACGUGAGCAACCUGCCCCUGGCUCUGGGACAACCACUGGAAACGGUGGCUAAUACCGGAUACGACCCGCCUCGGCAUCGAGUGUGGGUGGAAAGUUUUUCGGCUGGGGAUGGGCUCGCGGCCUAUCAGCUUGUUGGUGAGGUGAAGGCUCACCAAGGCGACGACGGGUAGCCGGCCUGAGAGGGCGACCGGCCACACUGGGACUGAGACACGGCCCAGACUCCUACGGGAGGCAGCAGUGGGGAAUAUUGCACAAUGGGCGGAAGCCUGAUGCAGCGACGCCGCGUGAGGGAUGACGGCCUUCGGGUUGUAAACCGCUUUCAGCUCCGAAGAAGCGAAAGUGACGGUAGGAGCAGAAGAAGCACCGGCUAACUACGUG